GACGAACGCUGGCGGCGUGCCUAAUACAUGCAAGUUGAGCGCUGAAGGUUGGUACUUGUACCGACUGGAUGAGCAGCGAACGGGUGAGUAACGCGUGGGGAAUCUGCCUUUGAGCGGGGGACAACAUUUGGAAACGAAUGCUAAUACCGCAUAAAAACUUUAAACACAAGUUUUAAGUUUGAAAGAUGCAAUUGCAUCACUCAAAGAUGAUCCAGCGUUGUAUUAGCUAGUUGGUGAGGUAAAGGCUCACCAAGGCGAUGAUACAUAGCCGACCUGGGAGGGUGAUCGGCCACAUUGGGACUGAGACACGGCCCAAACUCCUACGGGAGGCAGCAGUAGGGAAUCUUCGGCAAUGGACGAAAGUCUGACCGAGCAACGCCGCGUGAGUGAAGAAGGUUUUCGGAUCGUAAAACUCUGUUGGUAGAGAAGAACGUUGGUGAGAGUGGAAAGCUCAUCAAGUGACGGUAACUACCCAGAAAGGGACGGCUAACUACGUGCCAGCCGCCGCAGUAAUAC
rnacentral:rRNA from 1 species